CGAACUGUGCGAACGUUAUUCGGAAUCACUGGGCUUAAAGUUGCGUAGGCGGUUACCUAAGUCAGGUGUGAAUCUCUCGGCUCAACCGGGAAACUGCGCUUGAAACUGGGUGACUGGAGGGAUGCAGGGGUGUGUGGAACUUCCGGUGGAGCGGUGAAAUGUGCAGAUAUCGGAAGGAACGCCAGCAGCGAAAGCGGCACACUGGGCAUCUACUGACGCUGAGGCACGAAAGCUAGGGGAGUGAACGGGAUUAGAUACCCCGGUAAUCCUAGCCGUAAACACUGAACACUGGGGGAGGGAGGCUUCGGCCUUCUUUCCCGUAGCGAAAGCGUUAAGUGUUCCGCCUGGGGAGUAUGGUCGCAAGGCUG
rnacentral:rRNA from 1 species